CGCAAUCGCCCUUCGGGGUGCACCAGGCGCGAAAACUUUGCAAUACACGAAAGUGUGACAGGGUCAUCCCGAGUGCCGACCGCUGAGGUUGGCUUUUACCCAGUCUAGAAAGCUGGGGGAAUAAGGAGAGGGCAAGUCUGGUGUCAGCCGCCGCGGUAAUACCAGCUCUCCGAGUGGUGUGGACGUUUAUUGGGCCUAAAGCAUCCGUAGCUGGCUGAACAAGUCCCCUGUUAAACCCACCGAUUUAAUCGUUGGUCUGCGGGGGAUACUGCUCGGCUAGGGGACGAGAGAGGCAGACGGUAUUCCCGGGGUAGGGGUGAAAUCCUAUAAUCCCGAGAAGACCACCAGUGGCGAAGGCUGUCUGCUAGAACGCGCCCGACGGUGAGGGAUGAAAGCUGGGGGAGCGAACCGGAUUAGAUACCCGGGUAGUCCCAGCUGUAAACGAUGCAGACUAGGUGUUUGGACGGCCACGUGCCGUUCUAGUGCCGCAGGGAAGCUGUUAAGUCUGCCGCCUGGGGAGUACGAUCGCAAGAUUGAAACUUAAAGGAAUUGGCGGGGGAGCAC
rnacentral:rRNA from 1 species